UACGUAGGUGGCAAGCGUUGUCCGGAUUUACUGGGCGUAAAGCGUGUGUAGGCGGACCUUUAAGUAGAAAGUGAAAGGUAGGAGCUCAACUCCUACAUUGCUCUCUAUACUGGAGGUCUUGAGUGUCGGAGAGGAAGAUGGAACUGCACGUGUAGCGGUGAAAUGCGUUGAGCUGUGCAGGAACACCAAUGGCGAAGGCAAUCUUCUGGACGAAAACUGACGCUGAGACACGAAAGCCAAGGUAGCAAACAGG
rnacentral:rRNA from 1 species